AAAAUAAGUUACUCUAUCAUAUCAAAAUUGGACCAAAAGAUUCAAAACAGUAUUACUAUGAAGAGAAAUUAAUCAGCCUCAGAUUCAUCACUUUCCAAAUACAUUUCUACUGCUUCAGAAAUUUCUGUUCCAUACUCUUCUUCCUCCUUUCUCUCUCUUUCUUCUUCUCUUUCCCUCUAUGUGGCCUCGGCGUUAGCAGAUUCAAGGCUGGAACUCACUGCUUCCCAAGAAACAAGCUUCUUCGUGAAGAUAGAUAUAUAAUCCGGCCGCCAGUUCUGUAAAUGACUACACAGAAAUGCCGCUUUUAUCACUACUAAAAUAAAAGAGUGAGUUGAUUUUGGCACUGUUCAUAGGGCUGCAUGCCAUCU
rnacentral:lncRNA from 1 species